CUACGGGAGGCUGCAGUGAGGAAUUUUGCGCAAUGGGGGAAACCCUGACGCAGCAACGCCGCGUGAGUGAUGAAGGCCCUUGGGUCGUAAAGCUCUGUCAAUGGGGAAGAAACAGUUUGUAGCUAAUAUCUGCAAGCCUUGACGGUACCCAUGAAGGAGGCACCGGCUAACUCCGUGCCAGCAGCCGCGGUAAUACGGGGGGUGCAAGCGUUAAUCGGAAUUAUUGGGCGUAAAGGGCGCGUAGGCGGUUUUGCAGGUCAGAUGUGAAAGCCCGGGGCUUAACCCCGGAAGUGCAUUUGAAACCGUAAAACUUGAGUAUGGGAGAGGGAAGUGGAAUUCCUGGUGUAGAGGUGAAAUUCGUAGAUAUCAGGAGGAACACCGGUGGCGAAGGCGACUUCCUGGACCAAUACUGACGCUGAUGCGCGAAGGCGUGGGGAGCAAACAGGAUUAGAUACCCGCGUAGUC
rnacentral:rRNA from 1 species